rnacentral:rRNA from 1 species
AUUGAACGCUGGCGGCAGGCCUAACACAUGCAAGUAGAGCGGAGCGGCGGACGGGUGAGUAAUGCCUAGGAAUCUGCCUGGUAGAGGGGGAUAACGUCCGGGAACGGGCGCUAAUACCGCAUACUAACAGAUGAGACUAGGUCGGACUAGCUAGUUGGGGGGGUAAAGGCCUACCAAGGCGACGAUCCGUAACGGGUCGGAGAGGAUGAUCAGUCACACGGGAACUGAGAAACGGUCCAGAUUCCUACGGGAGGCAGCAGUGGGGAAUAUUGGACAAGGGGCGAAAGCCUGACCCAGACAGGCCGCGUGUUGGAAGAAGUUCUUCGGAUUGUAAAGCACUUUAAGUUGGGAGGCGUUACCAACAGAAUAAGCACCGGCUAACUUCGUGCCAGCAGCCGCGGUAAUUC